AACGAACGCUGGCGGCAGGCUUAACACAUGCAAGUCGAACGCACCGCAAGGUGAGUGGCAGACGGGUGAGUAACACGUGGGGAUCUGCCCAAUGGUACGGAAUAGCUCCGGGACACUGGAAUUAAUACCGUAUGUGCCCUUCGGGGGAAAGAUUUAUCGCCAUUGGAUGAACCCGCGUCGGAUUAGCUAGUUGGUGAGGUAAAGGCUCACCAAGGCGACGAUCCGUAGCUGGUCUGAGAGGAUGAUCAGCCACACUGGGACUGAGACACAGCCCAGACUCCUACGGGAGGCAGCAGUGGGGAAUAUUGGACAAUGGGCGCAAGCCUGAUCCAGCCAUGCCGCGUGAGUGAUGAAGGCCUUAGGGUUGUAAAGCUCUUUCGCCGACGAAGAUAAUGACGGUAGUCGGAGAAGAAGCCCCGGCUAACUUCGUGCCAGCCGCCGCAGUAAGAC
rnacentral:rRNA from 1 species